GAUCGAACUCAAGAGUGAGUUACAAGGAAUACGAUUUAUCGAGAAACCGGUUACAAUAUAUUAGAAGAUUACGCCAACCGCCAUCUUGUGACCUAAUUCUUUUGAGUUGAGAAGAAGAAGCAUAGGACUGCAUGUAAAUUGUAAACCAAAAUUAAACGUAAACACGUUUGUUAAUUCAUGAAAUCGACUUAAUUUUUAAUGCAUUCAAAAAUACCGCGCUAUUGGAGUCGAGUUUUUAUAUUCAAAGAGUGCCUCCAGAUGGCACUCAAGUGAUAAAUAAGGAUCAGGUGUUUCGUACAUAUCCAGAAACGUUAAAAUGUCAUCGAGAAAUUGUAAAUAUUAUACGAUGCUGAUGCUUUUGGUUAUAUAUAUGUGGUGAAUUUAUGAAAGUUAGAGACACUAAAUAUGAGUUAAAGUCAUGUCAAGUUUUCUGCGAUGCCUAUGAAGCAUAUUUUGACUACUGUUCGAAAUCAAGAUAAAUCAUGAACUCCACAUAUUGCUUGUGGUUAUCGUAAAAGAUGUUUGGAAGGCUAGUAUCGAGGUGAAAAAAGGUCUAUGAAGUUUGCGACACCAAGAAUUCGGCGUGAACCAAAGGUCCAUGUCCAUGAUUUCUACUUUUGUAUUGUUAACCCGAGUAAACGACGUAGAGGUAAAAAUGCAAAACCUGUCGAAUAUCCUGACCUUGCUUCUUCUUCUGCUCCAAUUCCACAUGACCUGACUCGACCAGUGCCAAACAACCAAAAUACCAUCUUAUUAGUACAGAAUGACCUAAUAAGAGAUUUUAAUUUACCAAAAAAUAAAGCAGAGCUUUUAGGCUCCCGGUUAAAACAAUGGAAUUUGCUUGUUGAUGUUAAUACUUGUAUAACAGAUUAACGAACUAGGCAUGAGACAUUUUCAACGUUUUUCACAAGAAAGAAGAAAUUGGCAUAUCUUGCAUUCCUAGCGAAUGGCGCUUAUUUAUAGACAGCUCUACCAAAAGGUUGAUAGCCGUUUUAUUACACAUAGGAAAUAAAUUUCCAUCCCUUCUAAUUGCUCACUCGGUACAUAUGAAAGAAAAUUAUGAUAGUGUUAAAAUCUUGCUUGACACAGUAAAGUAUGACGAGUACAAUUGGCAGUUGAUUGGUGAUUUUAAAAUGGUCAGAUUUUUAAUGGGAUUACAGAGCGGAUAUACCAAGUUUCCGUGCUAUCUGUGCUUAUGGGACAGCAGAGCGGAUGCUAAGCACUACAUUCAACGGUCUUGGCCUGAAAGAACCGAAUUUUGUAUCGGGAAACAAAACGUAAAAUUCAGUUCUAUUGUGGAAGCAGAAAAAGUGUUAAUGCCACCUCUCCAUAUUAAGUUGGGAUUCAUGAAACAAUUCGUGAAAAAACUCGAUCAAACUUCAGAAGUUUUUGAAUACUUAAGAAAUUUUUUUCGGAAAUUAUCAGAAGCAAAGGUAAAAGCUGGGAUUUUUGUUGGUCCACAAAUUAGAAAAAUUUUCGGCGAUGACUUAUUUGAAUAGUGAAACUUAAUAAAAAUGAUAAAUAUAUUUAUCUAUGUAGUUCUUUCCUAAAUUAAACAUUAAAACCACAUAUUUUGAGAAAAUUCGCUUAAUUAGUUUCCUGACCACAAAAGCAAACUUUUGAAGGUCAUAUAUUUUUUUUUCAUGUAUUUGUGACCUAAACCAAAGAAAUUGUAAACUUUCAAGUCGAGGUCAAAUUUCGUGUUGACACGUGUAAUCUAUUCCACAUUUUGCUAAGACAUCUAGUAAAAUAAACAGAGUUUUCCAUACAAGAACUCGAUAUACGAAAAUUAUGGCACAAAGCGCCCCAAGCUUUUUUCUCAAUUAUACUAUUAUUAUACUCUCGCAACCUGUUGCUA